UCCUACGGGAGGCAGCAGUCGGGAAUAUUGCGCAAUGGAGGAAACUCUGACGCAGUGACGCCGCGUGCAGGAAGAAGGUUUUCGGAUUGUAAACUGCUUUAGACAGGGAAGAAAGAAAUGACGGUACCUGUAGAAUAAGCUCCGGCUAACUACGUGCCAGCAGCCGCGGUAAUACGUAGGGUGCAAGCGUUAUCCGGAUUUACUGGGUGUAAAGGGCGAGUAGACGGCGUUGCAAGUCAGAUGUGAAAGGCUAGGGCUCAACCUUAGGAGAGCAUCUGAAACUGUAAUGCUAGAGUGCAGGCGAG
rnacentral:rRNA from 1 species